rnacentral:lncRNA from 1 species
CCAUCGCAACCACCCGCUUCUUCCCCUCCUCUAGUCCUCCAGCCCCCCACUCACCCACCCUUACCACCCGCUUCUUCCCUCCUCUAGUCCUCCAGUCCCCCACUCCACCAUCCCACCACCCUUCUUCCCCUCCUCUCGCCUCCAGUCCCCCACCCACCACCCUAACACCUGCUCUUCCCCUCUAGUCCUCCAGCGCCCCACUCCACCACCCUUACCACCCGCUUCUUCCCCUCCUCUAGUCCUACAGCCCCUCACCCACCACCCUACCACCGCUUUUUCCCUCUAACCCUCCAGCCCCCGCCAUUCUACCCACCCUUACCACCCGCUUCUUCCCCUCCUCUAGUCCUCCAGUCCCCCACUCCACCACCCCUACCACUCGCUUCUUCCCCUCUAGUCCUCCAGCUCGCCAUGCCGCCUCCACCCAUACCACCUUGCACUGACUGAGAGAUCCCACUUCCCGAUCCGUGAAUUAUACAUACACUACUGGUUGGGAAAACUUUGUCUUUAUCUCCCUUUCUCCUGCUCUUCCUUCACCUUCACCUUUUUUUGAAGCAGAAAUAUUUGACAGGAAGUAUAUCUGUUUGGGUGAUGCUAAUUUGAAUAACUUUCACCUUCAUGCCAUUUCAUGAGAUCAUUUUUUUGUUUGAUUUAAGUUU